rnacentral:lncRNA from 1 species
CCGUGAUAUCAAAACCAUACACCAUAUGCUUAAUGGUACGAUUAUUCAUCAAUUGUGUCACACUUUAGUAGUGCUUUAUAAAUAUAUCACCAAGUACAUUUAGCUUAGAGAAAAAAAAAGACCUAGACCAACACAUGUCUGUAUCUAUAUAACAAGAAGCUUAACCCACAUAAAUUUUACAUUCACAUCAUUUUGUCUUUUUGAGUCUUAGUAACAUUGUUACUUAAAUUAUGAAAAUGAAGCAAUUCCACUUGUUCCUUCUCUUUAGUAUUCUUCUCUUCCUUACACCUACUUCUUAUUCCAUUAGGACCCCCAAAUUUUCAGGUCCCUCAACUUCAACACAACAAUAUUUUCAUCAUUCAUGGGCCAGUUCUCCAAUCAGCUUCAGAGAAUUUGAGUCUCAGAAAAGAAGAGUGCCUACAGGAUCCAACCCUUUACACAAUAAGAGAUAGAGUAUCAUAUGUAGCAGCUAUUUAAUAUUUCUCAUGUACAGGGAAGUAUAUAUUAUAUACUUUUAUAUCAUAUGCUAGUAUAAUUGAAUUGUUGCAUUUGUAUGUAUCAUUAAUAUUAGAAAAAAGAAUGAUUUGUUUUGUUAGCUAGAUUGGUAGAGAUAAUUUGUUCUUGUUGUACAGAGGAUAUUUAGAAUUUUGUUCUCUUGUGGAAGUAUAAAACCAUGCAUAUAUGGGUUUUUUUUAUACAUUAAUAAAAAAUUGAAACAGAGACAAAAAUUUAGAGAACAAAAAAAUAUAAAAUUUGUAUUUAUUUUUUAUGUCUCUAACUUUUGUCAUUAUUUUGAUAUUUUCCUAGUAUUUCUUUGCCUUGAAUGAAGCUUUCUGUUCCAUUGGAACUUGCACCAAAUUUUGAAGAAACCAAUAAUAGUAUGAAUUAUAUCAUCAAUUAGCUUCUUCUGUGGCUCAAUUCCAAAGAUGAGU